rnacentral:lncRNA from 1 species
GUGUGCGUGUGCGUGUGUGUGUGUGCGUGCGCUUGCAGGACAGGAGUGUGUGUUUGGCAGUGAGUGUGUUAAGCCCCUUGCUCUUCGAUAAAGGCGACGUCCUGGUGGUGGGCUCCUUCUCAGCCGUGACCUUGAUCCACGUUGCCAUGGCAGCCAGUGUCCGCUCAGGCCGGGUUCUGGUGUGUGGGGCCGAUCACACUCCAGCACAGGUGGAGGAGAUGAAAGACCUGCUGAAGGAGGAGGACAUCAGAAAUGUUCGAAUCCAUUCACAUGCUUUCUACAGCCUGAGUGAGUGGGAUUCCAGCGUGCAGCGGCUAAAGGUCAUCCUAGUGCUGCCUCGUUGUUCCUGCUCUGCCCUCAGCGACCCCGUGCCCACCAUCUACAGAGAACAUGGAGACUGGGAUCUGCUGCCUGAUCUGUGUCACGGCUCUUUGUCAAGGAGCAAGCUGCACUCCCUGAGCAACCAGCAGGCCC